rnacentral:rRNA from 1 species
ACGAACGCUGGCGGCGUGCUUAACACAUGCAAGUCGAACGGAAAGGCCCUGCUUUUGUGGGGUGCUCGAGUGGCGAACGGGUGAGUAACACGUGAGUAACCUGCCCUUGACUUUGGGAUAACUUCAGGAAACUGGGGCUAAUACCGGAUAGGAGCUCCUGCUGCAUGGUGGGGGUUGGAAAGUUUCGGCGGUUGGGGAUGGGCUCGCGGCUUAUCAGCUUGUUGGUGGGGUAGUGGCUUACCAAGGCUUUGACGGGUAGCCGGCCUGAGAGGGUGACCGGCCACAUUGGGACUGAGAUACGGCCCAGACUCCUACGGGAGGCAGCAGUGGGGAAUAUUGCACAAUGGGCGGAAGCCUGAUGCAGCAACGCCGCGUGCGGGAUGACGGCCUUCGGGUUGUAACCCGCUUUCGCCUGUGACGAGGCGUGAGUGACGGUAAUGGGUAAAGAAGCACCGGCUAACUACGUG